AACGCACAGCUGGUGUAUAUUGCGUUGGAUGCAUUGGAGGUGAUUAAAGGAAUUAUAGGUGGCAACAAAUGCUCUCACGGUGCAAUUCUUCGCGAUAUCGGUGAGAAGUCAGGAAUUUCGAGAUGUCCGUUUUAUUCGUGAAGGGAGAAAUUUUAAUGUAGAUGCCCAUAAUUUAGUUAAAGAGUGUUUUCUCUCUUCAACCCCGUGGUUUUAUAUAGCUUUCUAGGCCUU
rnacentral:lncRNA from 1 species